rnacentral:rRNA from 1 species
UACGUAGGGGGCAAGCGUUAUCCGGAUUUACUGGGUGUAAAGGGAGCGUAGACGGCCAGACAAGUCAGAAGUGAAAGCCCAGGGCUCAACCCUGGAACUGCAUUUGAAACUGUAGUUCUUGAGUGAUGGAGAGGCAGGCGGAAUUCCGUGUGUAGCGGUGAAAUGCGUAGAUAUACGGAGGAACACCAGUGGCGAAGGCGGCCUGCUGGACAUUAACUGACGCUGAGGCGCGAAAGCGUGGGGAGCAAACAGG